UUAGGUAGCGCCUCGUGAAUUCAUCUCCGGGGGUAGAGCACUGUUUCGGCUAGGGGGCCAUCCCGGCUUACCAACCCGAUGCAAACUGCGAAUACCGGAGAAUGUUAUCACGGGAGACACACGGCGGGUGCUAACGUCCGUCGUGAAGAGGGAAACAACCCAGACCGCCAGCUAAGGUCCCAAAGUCAUGGUUAAGUGGGAAACGAUGUGGGAAGGCCCAGACAGCCAGGAUGUUGGCUUAGAAGCAGCCAUCAUUUAAAGAAAGCGUAAUAGCUCACUGGUCGAGUCGGCCUGCGCGGAAGAUGUAACGGGGCUAAACCAUGCACCGAAGCUGCGGCAGCGACGCUUAUGCGUUGUUGGGUAGGGGAGCGUUCUGUAAGCCUGUGAAGGUGGCCUGUGAGGGUUGCUGGAGGUAUCAGAAGUGCGAAUGCUGACAUAAGUAACGAUAAAGCGGGUGAAAAGCCCGCUCGCCGGAAGACCAAGGGUUCCUGUCCAACGUUAAUCGGGGCAGGGUGAGUCGACCCCUAAGGCGAGGCCGAAAGGCGUAGUCGAUGGGAAACGGGUUAAUAUUCCCGUACUUGGUGUUACUGCGAAGGGGGGACGGAGAAGGCUAUGUUGGCCGGGCGACGGUUGUCCCGGUUUAAGCGUGUAGGUGUGUGUUCCAGGUAAAUCCGGUUCACUUUAACACUGAGGCGUGAUGACGAGGCACUACGGUGCUGAAGUAACAAAUGCCCUGCUUCCAGGAAAAGCCUCUAAGCAUCAGGUAACAUCAAAUCGUACCCCAAACCGACACAGGUGGUCAGGUAGAGAAUACCAAGGCGCUUGAGAGAACUCGGGUGAAGGAACUAGGCAAAAUGGUGCCGUAACUUCGGGAGAAGGCACGCUGACACGUAGGUGAAGUGAUUUACUCACGGAGCUGAAGUCAGUCGAAGAUACCAGCUGGCUGCAACUGUUUAUUAAAAACACAGCACUGUGCAAACACGAAAGUGGACGUAUACGGUGUGACGCCUGCCCGGUGCCGGAAGGUUAAUUGAUGGGGUCAGCGCAAGCGAAGCUCCUGAUCGAAGCCCCGGUAAACGGCGGCCGUAACUAUAACGGUCCUAAGGUAGCGAAAUUCCUUGUCGGGUAAGUUCCGACCUGCACGAAUGGCGUAAUGAUGGCCAGGCUGUCUCCACCCGAGACUCAGUGAAAUUGAACUCGCUGUGAAGAUGCAGUGUACCCGCGGCAAGACGGAAAGACCCCGUGAACCUUUACUAUAGCUUGACACUGAACAUUGAGCCUUGAUGUGUAGGAUAGGUGGGAGGCUUUGAAGUGUGGACGCCAGUCUGCAUGGAGCCGACCUUGAAAUACCACCCUUUAAUGUUUGAUGUUCUAACGUGGACCCGUUACCCGGGUUGCGGACAGUGUCUGGUGGGUAGUUUGACUGGGGCGGUCUCCUCCUAAAGAGUAACGGAGGAGCACGAAGGUUGGCUAAUCCUGGUCGGACAUCAGGAGGUUAGUGCAAUGGCAUAAGCCAGCUUGACUGCGAGCGUGACGGCGCGAGCAGGUGCGAAAGCAGGUCAUAGUGAUCCGGUGGUUCUGAAUGGAAGGGCCAUCGCUCAACGGAUAAAAGGUACUCCGGGGAUAACAGGCUGAUACCGCCCAAGAGUUCAUAUCGACGGCGGUGUUUGGCACCUCGAUGUCGGCUCAUCACAUCCUGGGGCUGAAGUAGGUCCCAAGGGUAUGGCUGUUCGCCAUUUAAAGUGGUACGCGAGCUGGGUUUAGAACGUCGUGAGACAGUUCGGUCCCUAUCUGCCGUGGGCGCUGGAGAACUGAGGGGGGCUGCUCCUAGUACGAGAGGACCGGAGUGGACGCAUCACUGGUGUUCGGGUUGUCAUGCCAAUGGCACUGCCCGGUAGCUAAAUGCGGAAGAGAUAAGUGCUGAAAGCAUCUAAGCACGAAACUUGCCCCGAGAUGAGUUCUCCCUGAGACUU
rnacentral:rRNA from 1 species